GACGUAGGGUGCAAGCGUUGUCCGGAUUUAUUGGGCGUAAAGAGCUCGUAGGCGGCCUGUUGCGUCCGCUGUGAAAGCCCGGGGCUUAACCCCGGGUCGGCAGUGGAUACGGGCAGGCUAGAGGUAGGUAGGGGAGAAUGGAAUUCCCGGUGUAGCGGUGAAAUGCGCAGAUAUCGGGAGGAACACCGGUGGCGAAGGCGGUUCUCUGGGCCUUACCUGACGCUGAGGAGCGAAAGCGUGGGGAGCGAACAGG
rnacentral:rRNA from 1 species